UGGGAGUUCACUAUAAUCCCUAGGAUUACAGCCGGUUGUUUUACAAGUUCACAACCCAACUUGUGUUUUUGCGAGAUCACAACGAACUCGAUCGGUUUUCACAGGCUCACCGACCCUUACACCGAUUGUUUUCCGGGAUUACAAUCAAAUCCUUACACCGUUGGUUUUAACCUUGGGUCACCAACAAACCUUACAAUCCUUGAUUCAAUCUUCUGAUUGAACCAAGUAAGAAAAACAGUUUGGAAAAAGAUACAAGGAAAGCUUCUUAAAAAGCAAAUAUGAAUCAAUAUGAAUAGAGUAA
rnacentral:lncRNA from 1 species